GCCCUUUUAGCUCAGCCGGUAGAGCACCCGCCUUGUAAGCGGUAGGUCGUCCGUUCGAUUCGGACAGGGGGCACCA
rnacentral:tRNA from 1 species